UAUUUAUUCUCUUCUACAAUGCUUAUUUGGUUGGUAUACCACUUGCAAGCAUCGUAAUAGGGGCCCUGUACCUUGAUGAUUGUCCGUUACAGCGACUCAUCCCCGUUUAUCUGAUUGUGUCCGGUGUGCUGGGUCCUGUCAUAGGAAUAUUUGAAAGAUGUCGGUCAGUUCUCUGCACGGUAGAAAGUGAACCUGAACAAAGAGUGGAAGUGGUUAGUUCUAAUAUUGAAAGGAAUUGGACAACUUACUGCAAGCUAGAGUGUAAUUCUGGACAAAGAGUGACUCGACCCGAUGUAUUCGGCUAUUGUGGCUAUUUCACUGUCAUCUUGCUUGGCUUGGUUUGGACGGGCGUAUUUAUAUUAGGGAACGUGUUGGUGUACGGUACAUAUGACGUCGUCAGCAGUAACUCCACCUCCGUAGAAUACUGUCAUCCCACGGCGUACUACUUCACAUUCUGGUCCAUCGCUACGUUUUAUAUCACGAUUGGGAUCACCCUAAUCUUGUUCUCUUGUUGCUUUGCUGUAGGGGUUUGCUGUGUCUUCGUGGCGAAGGAAUAAAGAAAACAAAUAAAAUUAUUUAAACUACUGGUAUUAUGUUAAUGUACUUUGAUGCCAUUUCAUCUAUAAUAUUUUUUGUAGAAAAAAUGGUAUGGGUCUGCGUGUAUAUGUAUAUAGCAUAAAAAAUGUAUUUUU